AUUGAACGCUGGCGGCAGGCCUAACACAUGCAAGUCGAACGGUAGCACAGAGAGCUUGCUCUCGGGUGACGAGUGGCGGACGGGUGAGUAAUGUCUGGGAAACUGCCCGAUGGAGGGGGAUAGCUACUGGAAACGGUAGCUAAUACCGCAUAACGUCGCAAGACCAAAGUGGGGGACCUUCGGGCCUCACACCAUCGGAUGUGCCCAGAUGGGAUUAGCUAGUAGGUGGGGUAAUGGCUCACCUAGGCGACGAUCCCUAGCUGGUCUGAGAGGAUGACCAGCCACACUGGAACUGAGACACGGUCCAGACUCCUACGGGAGGCAGCAGUGGGGAACAUUGCACAAUGGGCGCAAGCCUGAUGCAGCCAUGCCGCGUGUAUGAAGAAGGCCUUCGGGUUGUAAAGUACUUUCAGCGGGGAGGAAGGCGGUGGAGUUAAUAACUUCACCGAUUGACGUUACCCGCAGAAGAAGCACCGGCUAACUCCGUGCCAGCAGCCGCCGUAA
rnacentral:rRNA from 1 species